rnacentral:lncRNA from 1 species
UAAGAAGGUAUUGGAUCCGGAUCUAACGAUCCAAAGCAUCCAUCUAUGACCAACUCGUAUUUUAUGUUUUUAGAGGUAUCACAACUCAGUUGGGAUUAGUCACUAUCUUGCAACCUUUUGGGUUUUAAGCAUCCUUAUAUUCUAAACAGUUAACACUACCAUAUUAUCUCUACUAUAGAGACAAUCAAUUAGAUUACUAUAAUCCAAUCAUUGAUUAAUAAAGAACAAUGUU